rnacentral:rRNA from 1 species
CCUACGGGUGACAGCAGUGAGGAAUAUUGGACAAUGGGCGCGAGCCUGAACCAGCCAAGUAGCGUGAGGGAUGAAUGCCCUACGGGUUGUAAGCUUCUUUUAUAAAGGAAUAAAGUGUGGCACGUGUGCCUUUUUGUAUGUACUUUAUGAAUAAGGAUCGGCUAACUCCGUGCCAGGAGCCGCGGUAAUACGGAGGAUCCGAGCGUUAUCCGGAUUUAUUGGGUUUAAAGGGAGCGUAGAUGGGUUGUUAAGUCAGUUGUGAAAGUUUGCGGCUCAACCGUAAAAUUGCAAUUGAUACUGGCAGCCUUGAGUACAGUAGAGGUAGGCGGAAUUCGUGGUGUAGCGGUGAAAUGCUUAGAUAUCACGAAGAACUCCGAUUGCGAAGGCAGCCUACUAAACUGCCACUGACAUUGAUGCUCGAAAGUGUGGGUAUCAAACAGGAUUAGAUACCCUGGUAGUC